rnacentral:lncRNA from 1 species
UAUCAGUCUCCUUAUUGAUAGCCUAUCAGCACUAACCUUCCUCUGCAGUGUUUAAUGUGUGUGCUUGUUCUUAAAAGUGCCUUUAUUUCAUAUUCAUUAGUGGCUGGUGAAAAUGCUCACACAUGAUCAAAUUCUAAAGGCAAAAAUCAAGGCAGAGCUUGAUAUUUAAACAAGAUAAUAGGUACAAUAAAAAUAAUGCAAUUUUAAAUAUGAAGGCAGAGGUAUGGUUUAAGUUCUUCUUUUGGCCUUGGAUAAAUUAUUCAGUAAUAUUCAUUAAUUUAUGUGUGAAAUAAACAUAUGGUGUGUAUCUGCUAAUUGCUUGGCUCUGUCCUAGGUGUUCACAAUUAAAAACAUAAGGCAUGGUUUCUGGCUACAAUGAGCUCAGUCUAUAAGGAGAUUCAGACACAUUAAUCAGAAAGUUAAAAGAUGAUUUUGUAACGGGGAUAUCUAUUUAUAGUAUCUUAAGAAAACGUCCAUGGGAACAUCUACCUGGGUUUGGGAUGGGGAAGGUUGGUGAGGGUUGGCUUCCUGGAGGUCAUGUGAGUAGAAGAGGAAAACGUAUGCCUAAAGAGGAAGAACAGAGAGAAGAAAAAGAAAAAAGGAAGAAAAGAGAAAGGCCCAGUAACAAAAAUCUGAAUGCCAUGUAUAGUUAAUUAAUAACAUGAAGGUGGGGCAUACAUUUGAGGUCAUAAGAUGUUAGAGGUUUAAGCACGGGCCAGGUCAUGAAGGGUCAUAAAUGCUUUGCCAAAUGUUUUGGACUUUAUCUCAUAGGUCAUGAAAACUCAGUAAGGAGAUGAAAUGAUAAUGACAAGGUCAUAUUUAUGUUUCAGAUUGUUGACUCCAGUGAGAGUGAAGAGGCCGGAUGGGGGUUGGAGAGGCAGAGCUGGUGUCCCAUCUGGCUCUGAACCAUUUUAUAGUCCAGGCAAGAGCUGAUGAAGACUAAAUGAAUCAGUGAUGUUAUUGAUGGACAGGAAGAGUAUAAGAAACAAACUCUGCAGAUGUUUUUUUUUUCAGCCAUACUCAUCACAUAAGUGGUGAGUAAAGGAGAGAAGAAGCAAAAAAUAAUUCAUUGAUUUCUAGCUCUGGUAUUGGAUAGAUGGUAUGGCCACUACCCCAUCAACAAAAAGAAUUUAAGAGGAAAUGCAGUUUUAAAGAAAAAAAAAGUUGAAUUUAUUUUAGAAUAUUUUGGAUUUUAGAUGCCAAUGGUCAUUAAAGUUGAAGUCAUUGAAUCUGAAAUGCCUAUCUUCAAGCUUUAGCUUUCUAACACAGGAAGGCAUUUAUAUAAGCCAACCCUAGGGCACAGCUAUAGCAUAUAAUUCCAAUAGAAUAUUGGGGUUCUAAAUUUUUGGUAUAAUAUACCUCAUAACAGGCUCUAGAGUAUCCAAAGCCAAGCCUCUCUGAACUCUGAAUCCACAGGGUAAGGAGGGAAGCAUCAUGCUGGCCAACACACAUGCAGUAUUUUCUUUCUCUCAUAGUCUCUGGUCUCUAAAAAUUGAAGCUCAUUUGGCUUAGAUGGCCUAGUUUAAGGUCAUUUCCUUUACCUACACCAGAGUCUAAGGUGGCACAUGCUUUAUCAGGUGUUUGUGUAGGCAGGGACUUUACCUGUGACCAGUAUAAUCAGGCUUCAUAAUGUGUCUUUACCUAUUUGCUUAGGAAUUAUGUGUGGCCCACAAAACAUGGCCCAGGAAUUAUUUUAUAUUCCUACUUUGACAUUCUCUGCAACGACUAUCAACCCUUGUCACCAGAACAACUCAAGCCGUUCUCUCUAAGACCUGAAACAUACUCUGUAAAUCAAUCCUACUCAUUCAUACACUGGGAGCUACCCAGACCCCUCUUAGUUAUAUUGGCUGUAUGCUUAUCAGAAUUUACCUGAAAGUUUCUCCAUGCAAAAUUUCUCCCCAUAGAGUUAUCCAAGACCAAAUGAUAUGGGUUCUAUAUUUCCUCUGGAGCUGGAAUCUGAGUGAAUUAUCCUUAGAUCUUCACUGUCAUUCGAGCAUCACCUCUGAAAAAAAUCUCUACGUUUCCAAGGUCGCCCCUGGAAAUGUUUUUCUAGAAGAACCAGAUAUAUGACUCUUCCACCUUUUAUCUUUUAGAAACCAGAGCAAUGCAAUAGGAAUGGUAAUUUUGAUGCCCUAACCAAAGUUUUAUCAGACUGGCAUCCAAUCAAGGAUUUAACCACUUAAAUAUUGUGCUUUGAUAAAAGUUCUACUGAGAAUUUGUGAUUAUUGGAGUUCUUUUACAGGGUACUUCAUAAGCCAUUACAUAAGACACUAAUUAUCCAAUAUUUCUACCAGCAGGUGAUCUUGUACUAAUUAAAUUAACAUUGAAAACUGCUAACAUCAUUGAUUAAGGGUCCAAAUUGUUACUGUAUAUCAGUAACAAUUAGGACAACUUCAUUUUGGGCAAAAAUCAAAUCUGCCUUUCCCUUUAUCACAGGAGAUUAAUUAUCAUCUUUUCCUAAGAAACCAGGCUCUCACCUAACAAUAAAGGCUCUUGUGAUUUGUCUACAUUUUGGCCUCUAAUUAUGAAGUUUGAGGAUGGCAGUCAUCAGGUUCAUGGAGUGGUUAAUAUCAAGAAAUCUGACUUCAGAUUUGGUUGAACAUAUUCAAAUCUCAGCCCUGCCACAUAGCAGAUAUAUACUCCUAAGCCAAGCAUGAUCUUCCAUUGGGCUCAGUUUCUUUUUCCAUUGUACAGUAAUAAAAAUAGUCCCUACCUUAAAGGGCU